AGGUAGGCCAGCAUGCCGGCCAGAGCGACAACCAGCAACGCAACCACCAGGCCGACAAUCCACCAAUACGAGGGCUUUUCUGCAGUCGUCCGAUCAACUGCACUCAGGUUCUCUGCUGGCACGGCUGAUUCGCUGUGACACAGCAUAUUUUGCAUCUCCCAAUGAGAUGACCUGAAAAGAUGACCAGCUGACCCAACUCCUCCUGUUUGUUUUCUGGCAUGAAAGCCUGUUGAGUCCUGGUGUCCGUUCUCUUUCCUCCAGCUGCCAAGACGAGUAAGUAAGAGUUCCCAGCGGGAGGACAGGGCCGGGGUAUUCCGGAUUACUUCGUGAUGAUAUUGUAUUUGUAUCUUUUACCAUUAAAUCAGCAUAUUUGUUAUAACCUUA